rnacentral:lncRNA from 1 species
AACCAAACCAAAAAUUAGUGGAAGCAAAGAAUAAAGGUCAGAGCAGAAAUAAACUGAACUGAAAUGAAGAAAACAAUACAAAAGGUCAAUGAGAUAAGAAAGUUGGUUUUUUGAAAAGCUAAACAAAAUUAAUAAACCUUUAGCCAGACUAAGAAAAAAAGACAGAAGAUACAAAUAAAUAAACUCAGAGAUGAAAAAGGAGACAUAACUACAGAAAUUCAGAGGAUCAUUAGUAGCUACUAUGAGCAACUAUAUGCCAAUAAAUUGGAAAAUUUAGAAGAAAUGGACAGAUUCCUAGACACGUACAAUCUACCAAGAUUGAACCGGAAGAAAUACAAAACCUGAACAGACCCAUAACAGGUAACGAGUUCAAAUCCAUAAUAAAAAGUCGCCCAGUAAAGAAAAGCCUGGGACCCAAUGGCUUCACUGCUGAAUUGAAAGCACUAACACCAAUUCUACUCAAGCUAUUCUGAAAAAUAAACUAGAAGGGAAUGCUUCCAAACUCAUUCUAUGAGGCAGGUAUUAUCCUGAUAUCAAAAGCAGACAAAGACACCCCAAAAAAAAAAAAAAAAAAAAAAAGAAAAAGAAAACUACAGGCCAAUAUCCCUGAUGAAUAUUGUUGGAAAAAUUCCAAAGUGGGAUAAAUCCCACUUUGGGAUGCAAGGAUGGUUCAACAUAUGCAAAUCAACUAAUGUGACACAUCCUAGCAACAGAAUGAAAGACAAAAACCUUAUGAUCAUUUCAAUUGAUGCUUAAAAACCAUGUGAUAAAAUUCAACAUCCCGUCAUGAACAACAACAACAAAAAACUUCAAAAACUGGGUAUACAAGGAACAUAGCUCAACAUAAUAAAAACCACAUAUGGUUUUUACCGGUGUGGUGGCUCACACCUGUAAUCUCAGCACUAACAGGAAGAAAUAAAAGGCAUCCAAAUUGGAAAGGAAGAAGUCAAAUUAUUCUUGUUUGCAGAUGGUAUGAUCUUAUAUCUGGAAAAACCAAAAGACUCCACAAAAAACUAUGAGAACUGAUAAACAAAUUUAGUAAAGUUGCAGGACAAAAAGUUGACAUGCAAAAAUCAGUAGCAUUUCUAUGCCAACAGUGAACAAACUGAAAAUAUUGUUAAAAUGUGUAUACUAUCCAAAGCAUUCUACAGAUAUGGAACCAAAAAAGGCCCAGAAUAACCAAAACUAUCCUAAGCAAACAAAAACAAAAACCAUACAAAACAAAACAAACAAACAAUAAUGACAACAAAAAACAAAUCCCAAACAAAUAAAAACAAAAACAAAAAAUCUGGAGGAAAAUCACAUUACCUGACUUCAAAUUAUACCAUAAAAACAGACACAUAUACCAAUGGAACAGAGUACAGUACACACCUACAGUAAACUCAUUUUCAACAAAGGUGUCAAGAACGUAUGCUGGGGAAAAGAGAGCCUCUUCAAUAAGUGAUGCUGGGAAAAUGAUAUCCAUAUGCAGAAGAAUGAAUCUAGACCCCUAUGUCUCACCAUAGACAAAAUCAAAUCAAAAUUGAUUAAAUAAUUAAAUCUAAGACCUCAAACUAUAAAACUACCACAAAAACAAACAAACAAACAAAUAAACACUGGGGAAACUCUCCAGUACAUU